UCUCUCUCUCUCUCUCUCUGCACUCUUACUUCCCAGCAUUUUUGUUUGCUUUUUAAAAUAUUUUAGCUCUGCGCUAAUCUGGUGAUUUAGGGUUUUUUUAUUGUGCAUAAAUUUUGUGAUCCAUUUCUCGCAGGCGAAGAGGGAUUGGGAGAGAUAACGAAGAGUGAACUAAUAAAAUCGAUCGAACAUGGGAGGAGGAGCAG
rnacentral:misc_RNA from 1 species